rnacentral:rRNA from 1 species
AUUGAACGCUGGCGGCAUGCCUUACACAUGCAAGUCAAACGGCAGCACGGGAGCAAUCCUGGUGGCGAGUGGCGAACGGGUGAGUAAUAUAUCGGAACGUGCCCAGUAGUGGGGGAUAACUGCUCGAAAGAGCAGCUAAUACCGCAUACGACCUGAGGGUGAAAGGGGGGGGUCGCAAGACCUCUCGCUAUUGGAGCGGCCGAUAUCAGAUUAGGGAGUUGGUGGGGUAAAGGCCUACCAAGGCAACGAUCUGUAGUUGGUCUGAGAGGACGACCAGCCACACUGGGACUGAGACACGGCCCAGACUCCUACGGGAGGCAGCAGUGGGGAAUUUUGGACAAUGGGCGCAAGCCUGAUCCAGCAAUGCCGCGUGCAGGAAGAAGGACUUCGGGUUGUAAACUGCUUUUGUCAGGGAAGAAAUCCUCUAGGUUAAUACCCUUGGGGGGAUGACGGUACCUGAAGAAUAAGCACCGGCUAACUACGUGCCAGCAGCCGCCGUAAGAC